GCACCACCUUGAACAUGACAAAAGUCCUAAGCCCCUGCUCUGAAGGGGAUUGUGGCUCAUGGGCCAUUACCAUGGAGAAGUAAGAGCCUUAAAACAUAUCUAAAUAAAAUGAAGUGACAAGAGGAAAAAAGGAAAACAAAAGCUCCGCAUGCCCGGGGGGACUUUUGUUUAUGAAAUGGAAGCUGUUCAUGGAGACUGUGAGGUUUUACUGUGAACACAAGUUUCACCUCUAAAGCUAACUGAGGCCCCACAGCAUGCCCACACAGGACGCGACUGCAGGCGAGGGCCUCGAUAAUCAUCUCGUCUGGUAGAUUUUUGCACAGAGGCUCAUCUGGUCCCAUUUUUAAAGACAUGGGAAUUUUCCAAAAAAGUCAAACUUCAUUCCCUCGUAUGGGCUUUCAAAAGCAGUUGAUGGCGUUUUGGUAUUUUGGAUUGUCACCUACCCAUACGGUAUAAACAAAUCGCUUUUGAGGCAAGUUCUCAUCACAGAACACAGCCUGGUUAUCAGUCACAAAGGCCUGUCAUCAGCCUCUGCAGUCUCAUCCAGUCCCUCCAGGCUGGAUGCCUCCCGCCUGAAUGCUCCCCGCGUGUCUGAACACACCGCCCCUGUUGGAUGAGGAGCUUCAGGCUGGGGCUGGACCCCUCCUCUCUGCAAGAAAUUGCUGCUUGUAGCAGUCAGGGCAGGUCUAACUCAGGCAUGACUCAGCUCUUUGUGACCCGCGUUCUCCUUUUUCCUUGAUGAGACUGGUGUGCUGGCCCCACUUAUGGAAACAUGUGCCCUGCUCCCUCCCUUCGCCCUGCCUCAAUUUGCAGAGGGAGCAUCCCUUUUAAGAGGAAUAUUUAGAAGAUUCUAUCAUGGAAUUCUUGGUAAGAACGGUUUUGCUCCCAUGGGACAAAAGAGUUUUUCCCCCUUUGCCAGGCACCCAACCACCGCCCAUCUCCCCUUUCUCCCACUUUGCUUCUGGAUGUUUCUCUCUUACCCGGAUUUUCUCCCAGUUUGGGAUUAUCAGUCUAAAAUGAGAGUCUGGAGUUCAUCAGUGUUAUCGAUAAAACUUUGCAACUAUUUCAAAGUUUUUUCCUGUUCAAAUAGGUGAGGCUGCAAAAUGCUGAAGGGGGCACCUCUGUUCCAGAGAAAGGGAAAGAAGAAAACUGCGUGACAAAAAUACGUGGUGGGAAGUAGCACGGGGAAUCUUUGUCGAUUUUCUCUGACCACUUUGAGAAUUGUUUUUCCUUGAAAAGAAGAGAAAAGAAAAGACAACCUACCUAAAAUAUUAAUGCUAUUGUUAGAGUUCUACGAUAAUCCAAAACAGAGUCAUUUUGAAAGAAAAAGUGGCCCACUGUGCUGAAGUCAAGCAGGCCACGCAAAGCUCUGACUUCAAAGCCAUUCCUUGAUAAAACAUCAAAACGGCCCAGGGUGGGCCAGCUGUUAUCUGGAAUUCUACAGAUAAUUCACUGAAACUCGGUGCUCACUAGCCGCAGAGAGUUUCCAUAGCAAGGCCGUUCCCAGGGUCCUGCUUGAUUUUGUUGCCUCAUAUCCUGUGUUUUGUUAGGCAGGGAGAGGUUUGGACCGCCUCUCAAUAAAACUCCGUGUUAGCGCACCGGAGAAACUUGACUCCUGCUUGGCCUCGUAGAGGCCGGAAAUGUGAACUGUGCCUUCCCUGGCCCUGAAGGUGACAUCGUCUUGCUCCUCCUUCUCCACCUGGAAGCACCAGUGACUGUUUUCCCCUGGGCCUUGGUUCGCUUUGGAAGAGCGGUGGCCUGCUUUCCACCAUGAAUAUCAGAAAUAUUGCCUUUUCAACUCUGUGCUGUAAAAUGUGAUGGUACUGCAACUUCAUGAGGCACAGAGUUCCCCACUUUGGGUUUGCCAGUCCUGUGGGUUCAUUCUGGAGCCCCUCCCUCAUCUCCCAGUCUUCAAACGCCAGCCCAUCUAAUCCCUUUGCUGGAAUCACGCCAAUGGUCUCACCGAUCCUUCCCCCUUGCAUUCUUCCACUUCCCACCUCCAUGCAUUGCCCGAUCAGCAAGCCACAUUUCCCUUUAAAUGUGAAGACUCACCUGAAAGCCCACCACCUCUUCCGAGAAGCCUCCCCUGAUUAAGUGGGGAUGAAGGAGCUUUCGAAGCAUGGCUGACAGACUCCCGAUAAAUGAGAACACACACACACACAUACACACACACACACACACACACACACACACAGAAACUCACAAGAAGAGCAAAUUACACAUUCGCCACUUUCGGACAGCACGCUUCUAUGAGGCUUCCUAGAUGCACGUGUGAAGGGGACUGCCACUUGCCGGAUAUGGAUGGCACGAAUGACACUGAAGGAAGUGGGUCCUGGCAGUGCUUCCGGGCUGGUGGAUCACACUGCCCAGGAGGAACCUGCGUCUGAGACCAGUAAAUGCCUUAACCACGUAGUGUUCUCGUCAGGGAGCUUUCACGACUCCAUGCCCCCAUCCUUCUUGGGCAAACAUGCUGGCUACCUGGGACCAAGGUAGACGUAAAUAAAGGACCAAAACCCUCUAGACAAGGCCCUGCGGAGAGAAUGGCGGGCAAGCUUCCUGGCAAGUCUCCAUGUUCAGCCUCAACUAAGGCUGCUGGAGGGCAAGGGGAUCUGUAGGGAGCCCUGGAUCGGAGGCAAUCACAUCAGAAGUAGAAGCAGACAUGUUCGAUCUCCAGAAGACUGCCUUCCGGGGCCAGAGUUAAUGCCCCUUGUGGAGGCCUGAGAGACUCAUGGCAUCAAAUGACCAGAACGAGGAGAACACAGACGGAAUGGUGAUAGCUGGCAAUUAGAACAUGGCACCAAACACCACUGCCACAGACGCUUUCUAGCUACAAAGCCACGCUAGGCAACCUUGAAGCAAAACAGUAUCGAUUUUGUGGUUGUAAAAAACGUACCUUCAACUGCAGAACUCAGUUUUAUGACACCUUGAAUAAAAACAAAAAGUGGCAGUUAUAUAAUGGACCCAAAUCUCCUAGUCUUCUCAACACACACACAUGCUUCAGACCUAGAGUUUUUGCCGGCAUGUUGAGAGUUUAACUGAACAAGUAACAACUUUGAAAACAAGGUCGUUUUCAGUCCUCGAUUAGACCUGAUGGUGUCUUCGCUUCCUCCGCUGAAACCGUUUGGGGGAGUUUUUCACUAAAGAAGGGAUCUGACGUGUUUUUGGCCAAAACAAAGGCCAAGUCUGUGUGAAUGACUAUUUCUGUAUGGAAGUCACGCUGGAUAAUGAAUCGAUAAAACUUCAUCCAGCAGGACACCGGUGUGUAGUACUUUCUAUUUAAUGCUAUGUAUAGAGAUCAUUUGAUACAUGUUGGGACAGGGUAUCUGUUGAGAUACACAGAAGGUGAUUAAAAGCCAUGGUGUGAUCUGGCAACUUCCUUCUCUGAGGUGGUUGGGCCAAAGGCCAUUUACUGUUCAGAUGUGGUCAGUGUUCCAGCUCCCUGCAGGUCAGUGAACCGGCCUUCUGAGUGUGUCAGAUUGCUCAUGAACCAAGGAGACCUUACUCCUGACUGGACACUCAUGUCCCUUUUUGAUGCAUUUAAGGAUGAAAAUACUCAACUGAGAUCAACUAGACUGGGUGCAAUGAUUUGAUCAAACGAUCGUUGUUUUUUGGUGGGUCAUAGUUAUAAAUAAAUAAUAUUCCCCAAACCCUAUGGGAUGGCCAUGAUACUUGAGGCUGAGCAAAAAUGUCUAUUUACAGUUUCAUGUGGUUGGCAUUCUGGUUCUCUUUCCAACCAGAGGAGUUUCAAAUUAAAAAUGGAAACAAAACCCUUUCAAAGUCGGUAAGCCAAAUCAGGAUGAGUGUGAACACGCACCGAUUUCAACAGAUUAGGUUAACAAAGAGACAAACUUGCUCUCCAUUACAACUUUCUGAAAAAGCUGCUUUUAAGUUACCUAUCCAAUUUCAUCUUUCCCGCAGAACCAGGAGCGUCUGGUCAAUGUUUAACGAGGGACUCUCCAGGGCGAAAAGUAUGCAUAUAAAUGUAUGUAUGUUUAUUACGGUUUUUACUGAUAGACAUGAUGUGUGAUACACAACCUACAAAUAAUAAUAAAAUCCACGGUGCUCUUUACUGCACAUUCCUUACAGCCACUUGAUUUUCGCGGAAUGCUUUUGUUGAUUUUGGUCAAACUCUUGUAUUCAUAGCCAGCAAGUCAACUGUGAUUUGCACAGUUGCAAAUCAUUGCAAUUGCAAUCAUGCAUUGAAUGUCAUCCCAACCCCCUCUUUCCCUAAUAAAUGUAUUAUCAUUACA